rnacentral:rRNA from 1 species
GAACGCUAGCGGCAGGCUUAACACAUGCAAGUCGAGGGGUAACAGGGAGUGCUUGCACUCUGCUGACGACCGGCGCACGGGUGCGUAACGCGUAUGCAACCUACCUUCUACAGGGGGAUAGUCCAGAGAAAUUUGGCAUAAUACCCCAUACGAUCAUUUAUUGGCAUCGAUAGAUGAGGAAAACUCCGGUGGUAGAAGAUGGGCAUGCGUCCUAUUAGUUAGUUGGUAAGGUAACGGCUUACCAAGACAUCGAUAGGUAGGGGUCCUGAGAGGGAGAUCCCCCACACUGGUACUGAGACACGGACCAGACUCCUACGGGAGGCAGCAGUGAGGAAUAUUGGACAAUGGAGGCAACUCUGAUCCAGCCAUGCCGCGUGCAGGAAGACGGCCCUACGGGUUGUAAACUGCUUUUAUACAGGAAGAAACGCCGCUACGUGUAGCGGUUUGACGGUACUGUACGAAUAAGGAUCGGCUAACUCCGUGCCAGCAGCCGCGGUAAUACGGAGGAUCCAAGCGUUAUCCGGAAUCAUUGGGUUUAAAGGGUCCGUAGGCGGUUUUUUAAGUCAGAGGUGAAAUCCUGCAGCUCAACUGUAGCAUUGCCUUUGAUACUGAAAGACUUGAGUUAUUGUGAAGUAGUUAGAAUGUGUAGUGUAGCGGUGAAAUGCAUAGAUAUUACACAGAAUACCGAUUGCGAAGGCAGAUUACUAACAAUAUACUGACGCUGAGGGACGAAAGCGUGGGUAGCGAACAGGAUUAGAUACCCUGGUAG